rnacentral:lncRNA from 1 species
UUCCACUGAGGACUGCACUCAGAUGUAUCAUUCUUGUUUUUGCUUGGAGGGAUAUUAAAAGAACCACUGUCCAACAGUGUAAAAACACCUGACUACUUCAUGCUUAGAAGAGAAAGUGCUGAGAUUUGGGAUCCCUCUCAAAGCCAAUCAGAUGUGGGGUAAGAGAGUGGUUUUUGACACUUUGGAAGAAAUUUGCUCU